UUACGACCAUAUCAUGUUGAAACACCGGUUCUCGUAUGAUCACCGAAGUUAAGCAACAUUAAUAAAAUAAGCCUGGUCAGUACUUAGAUGGGUGACCGUUAUGGGAAUACCAGAUGCUGCAAGC